AUUGAACGCUGGCGGCAGGCCUAACACAUGCAAGUCGAGCGGAUGAAGGGAGCUUGCUCCUGGAUUCAGCGGCGGACGGGUGAGUAAUGCCUAGGAAUCUGCCUGGUAGUGGGGGAUAACGUCCGGAAACGGGCGCUAAUACCGCAUACGUCCUGAGGGAGAAAGUGGGGGAUCUUCGGACCUCACGCUUUCUGAUGAGCCUAGGUCGGAUUAGCUAGUUGGUGGGGUAAAGGCCUACCAAGGCGACGAUCCGUAACUGGUCUGAGAGGAUGAUCAGCCACACUGGAACUGAGACACGGUCCAGACUCCUACGGGAGGCAGCAGUGGGGAAUAUUGGACAAUGGGCGAAAGCCUGAUCCAGCCAUGCCGCGUGUGUGAAGAAGGUCUUCGGAUUGUAAAGCACUUUAAGUUGGGAGGAAGGGCAGUAAGUUAAUACCUUGCUGUUUUGACGUUACCAACAGAAUAAGCACCGGCUAACUUCGUG
rnacentral:rRNA from 1 species